GAGAAGAUGGUGGCUGCUGCACAAUCCUGGGUUCCCGGGCCCUGCCAAUGUCAUGUUCUGCCAUUACUGCAAUAGCCACAUCUGUGUGUCACGGCCCACUCCAUUGCCAGCUUCAUCAUGCCCUCAUACCUCAUGAGGUGGACGUUCCUCAGUCAGUGGGAUCGUGGCCACUGUGUUUGGAGCAACAGGAUUCCUGGGCCAAUGUGUUGUCAACCACCUUGGACGCAUGGGGUCACAGGUGAUCAUUCCCUAUCGGUGUGAUACAUAUGACAUCAUGCACCUUCGUCCCAUGGGUGACCUGGGCUAGCUUCUGUUUCUGGAAUGGGACGCGAGAGAUAAAGAUUCUGUCCGACGAGUAGUGGAACACAGCAAUGUGGUCAUCAAUCUUGUUGGAUGAGACUGGGAAAUUAAAAACUUUGAUUUUGAGGAUGUUUUUGUGAAGAUCCCCCAAGCAAUUGCUCAGGUGUCCAAGGAAGUCGAAGUUGGAAAAUUCAUUCAUGUUUCGCAUCUGAAUGCGAAUAUUAAAAGCUCUUCUAGGUAUUUGAGAAAUAAGGCUGUUGGAGAGAAAGCAGUGAGAGAUGCAUUUCCAGAAGCCAUUAUCAUAAAGCUGUUGGACAUCUUUGGAAGAGAGGAUAGAUUCCUUAAUUAUUUUGCAAAUAUGUGUUGGUUUGGUGCUAUACCCCUUGUUUCCUUGGGCUGGAAGGCAGUUAAACAACCGCUAUGUCGUAGAUGUAUCCAAAGGAAUUGUUAAUGCAGUUAAGGAUCCUGAUGCCCGUGGGAAAACCUUUGCUUUCAUUGGGCCAAAUGGGUACCUCCUCUUUGACCUGGUGAAGUACAUCUUUGCUGUAGCUCACAGACUCUUCCUCCCGUACCCCUUGCCACGUUUUGCCUAUCAGUGGGUAGCAAGAGACUUUGAAAUAAGCCCAUUUGAGCCCUGGACAACAAGGGAUAAAGUGGAGCGGAUUCACAUCACAGAUGUGACAUUGUCUCACCUGCCCAGCUUAGAAGACCUUGGUAUUCAGGCACCACCACUGGAACUCAAGGCCAUCGAGGUGCUGCGGCGUCAGCGCACUUACUGCUGGCUGGCUGCUGAAAUUGAGGAUGUGAAACUGGCCAAGACUGUCACCAUUUAGUGCCUCCUGAGUAACUCCUGGUUUUGGCGUCUUUUGGGUCAGCCCAUGUGGUUUGAGCACCUAGCCAGGUGGUCUCUUUAGAGAAUCCUGUACACAGUGAAUAGGAUUCC